CAGUCGAGCGGUAACAGAGAGUAGCUUGCUACUUUGCUGACGAGCGGCGGACGGGUGAGUAAUGCUUGGGGAUCUGCCCGGUCGAGGGGGAUAACCGUUGGAAACGACGGCUAAUACCGCAUACGCCCUACGGGGGAAAGCAGGGGACCUUCGGGCCUUGCGCGAUUGGAUGAACCCAAGUGAGAUUAGCUUGUUGGUGAGGUAACGGCUCACCAAGGCGACGAUCUCUAGCUGGUCUGAGAGGAUGACCAGUCACACUGGGACUGAGACACGGCCCAGACUCCUACGGGAGGCAGCAGUGGGGAAUAUUGCACAAUGGGGGAAACCCUGAUGCAGCCAUGCCGCGUGUGUGAAGAAGGCCUUCGGGUUGUAAAGCACUUUCAGUGGUGAGGAAAGGAGGUUGGCUAAUACCUGACCUCUGUGACGUUAACCACAGAAGAAGCACCGGCUAACUCCGUGCCAGCAGC
rnacentral:rRNA from 1 species